rnacentral:rRNA from 1 species
GAUGAACGCUGGCGGCGUGCCUAACACAUGCAAGUCGAGCGGACGGACGAGACGCUUGCUUCUCUGCUGUUAGCGGCGGACGGGUGAGUCAUACGUGGAUAACCUACCUAUAAGACUGGGAUAACUUCGGGAAACCGUAGCUAAUACCGGAUAAUAUUUUGAACCGCAUGGUUCAUAAGUGAUAGACGGUCUUGCUGACACUUAUAGAUGGAUCCGCGCUGCAUUAGCUAGUUGGUAAGGUAACGGCUUACCAAGGCAACGAUGCAUAGCCGACCUGAGAGGGUGGACGGCCACACUGGGACUGAGGCACGGGCCAGACUCCUGAGGGGAGCAACAGUAGGGAAUCUUUCGAAAAGGGGCAAAGCCUGACGGAGCAACGGCGCGGGAUGGAUGAAGGUCCUCGGGACGGUAAACUCUGUUAUGAUGGAAGAACAGAUGGUAAGUUAACAGUGCACAGCUUGACGGUACCUAAUCAAAAAGCCACGGCUAACUACGGG